UACAGAGACUGCAAGCGUUAUUCGGAUUCACUGGGCGUAAAGGGUGCGCAGGCGGCCGAGUGUGUGAGGCGUGAAAGCCCGGGGCUUAACCCCGGAAUUGCACCUCAAACUACACGGCUAGAGCAUUGGAGAGGGUAGCAGAAUUCAUGGUGUAGCAGUGAAAUGCGUAGAUAUCAUGAGGAAUACCAGAGGCGAAGGCGGCUACCUGGACAAUUGCUGACGCUCAGGCACGAAAGCGUGGGGAGCAAAAGGGAUUAGAUACCCCUGUAGUCCACGCCCUAAACGGUGCACACUAGGUCUUGGCGGAUUCGACCCCCCCAGGGCCCAAGCUAACGCGUUAAGUGUGCCGCCUGAGGACUACGGCCGCAAGGCUAAA
rnacentral:rRNA from 1 species